rnacentral:lncRNA from 1 species
CGUUGCCGCCACCGGAACCCACCAUCAUCGCCCGUGGAUCUUCAUCGUCAAGAGCUCUGUAAGUUUUCUAUUUUAAUUUCCGUUCUUCUCAAGAGUGUGAAAUGGGUCUGCCAUGGCUUCAUCUAGUGUGAUUCUCCUGUUAAUUGGCUUCAUUUUUGAAUACACAUGCUGCAUAUGUUGAUUGAGUUGAAUGUCUUGAUUUCUGAUAAAUUUUGGGGCUGAUUGACUUCAAUUUGAACAAAAAUCUGAUGAAACUUUUAAUGCCCCCAAUCUGUUCGAUGUAAUGUCUAGCCGAAAAUUCUUUGUUGAAAGAUGGUUUUGUUGCAUUUGUACGUUUGAAAGAAAUCGGACAAGUCAGUGAGUUAGGUUUGUUGCAGCAGUUCUUUUGUUUUCCAUUUUGGUUGGCUGACGUAUUGUUUCGAAUGUCAAUAAGGUUGUCUUGUGUCACUUCUGUCAUUUAUGAUCUGCUCCAAAAGCCUAAUUCAUCAGUUUUGGUACUUAAAUCAAUGUUUGUUUCUGAUUUCUUUUUUUUAGAGGAGUAAAUUGUUUCGGCCAUGGAUUUUUUUUGUGGGGAAAAGCAGCUACUGGAACUCUGGUUUUGUAUUAUGAUUUUGUUUGUUUGGUCCUGAGUGACUCGGUUUGAGUCUUGGGGCAUUAGUUGGUGUAUCUACAUGCUCCAUUGGGGCUUAUAAAUUCUGUCCCAUGCAUGCUGA